AUGGGUAUCGACCUCGUCGCCGGCGGCCGUAACAAGAGGACCAAGCGCACCGCGCCAAAGUCGGACGAUGUCUACCUCAAGCUUCUGGUGAAGCUCUACCGCUUCCUGGUGAGGAGGACCAAGAGCCAGUUCAAUGCUGUGAUCCUGAAGCGCCUCUUCAUGAGCAAGACCAACCGCCCGCCGCUCUCGCUUCGUCGCCUCGUCAAGUUCAUGGACGGCAAGGACAACCAAAUCGCUGUGAUCGUGGGUACCAUAACCGACGACAAGAGAGUUUACGAGGUGCCGGCGAUCAAGGUGGCAGCGCUCAGGUUCACUGAGACGGCAAGGGCCCGCAUUGUGAAUGCCGGUGGAGAAUGCCUCACCUUUGACCAGCUGGCCCUUCGUGCUCCUCUUGGCCAGUACACGGUUCUCCUGAGGGGCCCUAAGAACGCCCGUGAGGCAGUGAGGCACUUCGGUAAGGCUCCUGGUGUGCCGCACAGCCAUACCAAGCCUUAUGUCCGCUCGAAGGGAAGGAAGUUUGAGAAGGCAAGAGGAAGGAGGAACAGCAGAGGCUUCAAGGUCUAG
rnacentral:rRNA from 1 species